rnacentral:snoRNA from 14 species
GGGGAUGAUGAUUUCACAGACUAGAGUCUCUGACCCUGGUCCUGAUGUCAAAAAUGAGUUCUGACUC